rnacentral:rRNA from 1 species
UACGUAGGUCGCAAGCGUUGUCCGGAUUUACUGGGCGUAAAGAGCGCGCAGGCGGCUGAUCAAGUCCGACGUGAAAGCUCCCGGCUUAACUGGGAAAUUGCAUCGGAAACUGGUCGGCUUGAAGGUGGGAGAGGGUAGUGGAAUUCCCGGUGUAGUGGUGAAAUGCGUAGAUAUCGGGAGGAACACCAGUGGCGAAGGCGACUACCUGGCCCACUCUUGACGCUGAGGCGCGAAAGCUAGGGGAGCGAACGGG